CCAGACUCCUACGGGAGGCAGCAGUGGGGAAUAUUGCACAAUGGGGGAAACCCUGAUGCAGCGACGCCGCGUGAGCGAUGAAGUAUUUCGGUAUGUAAAGCUCUAUCAGCAGGGAAGAAAAUGACGGUACCUGACUAAGAAGCCCCGGCUAACUACGUGCCAGCAGCCGCGGUAAUACGUAGGGGGCAAGCGUUAUCCGGAUUUACUGGGUGUAAAGGGAGCGUAGACGGCAGCACAAGUCUGGAGUGAAAUCCCGGGGCUUAACCCCGGAGCUGCGUUGGAAACUGUGCGGCUGGAGUGCAGGAGGGGUAAGCGGAAUUCCUAGUGUAGCGGUGAAAUGCGUAGAUAUUAGGAGGAACACCAGUGGCGAAGGCGACUUUCUGGACUGUACCUGACGCUGAGGCGCGAAAGCGUGGGUAGCGAACGGGAUUAGAUACCCGCGUAAG
rnacentral:rRNA from 1 species